CGCCGAGCGGCGUGCGGUUUGCAGGGCCCCGCGAGGCCUCUGCCCCGCCACAUUCCAUUGAGGCCCCGCAGUAAAAACGCCGCUCAGGAUCCGCCUGUGCGCUGUGUCCAUCGAUUGGGGGGGGAGAACCGAGAACGGGGGAGCGGGAGGGCGGGGGCGGCGCGGGCAGGAAGCGGAGCGAGCGGCUGCCAUCUUGGGUGGGGGAGGGGAGAUGGGGGUCGGGGGGAGGGGAAGAGAAGGGGGGGUACUGAUGGGGGAGGGGAAUGGGAGGUGGGGAUCCCCGGGGAUGGCGGCGGGGUGGGGGUGGGGAGCCCCUGGGAACACCAUUGGGGGUUGGGCUGAGUGAUUGCGGGGGUCCCAGGGGAGGGGAUUUUGGGGGGCACGGGGGGGGGGGAGCGAUCCCGGUGGGAGCUCCGACUCUCCCAUCGACUGCUCAGGGGGAGGGUCAACAAAUCCUCACUGCUGCGCUGCUUGCACGGAAUACCCCAACUCCCUUCUUCCCCCCCACGGGAGGGGUCACGGGGCGGGAUCCUUCUCGGCACUCUCGGGGGACAAUCUGUGGCCAGGAAUCAACAUCACAGCCCCAGCCCAGCUCAUCCAUAGGCGUCACCACGCAGACACAUGAGGUGCCUUCACUCAGCUCAGGGACAGCUGAACCACAGACGGUGGCACCGGACACAGCUCCCAGCAAAGAGAGCUCAACACCUCCAUCUCCACUGCACACCACUGCAACACCGUCUUCAACCGCGACCCCAAGCACUGCAGCAGCUGAACCUCCCUCCAGCCCUGCAGGAACACCAUCUCUGCCCAUGACAUCGGGCUCAGCUCCACUGACCACAUCGGCCCCAUCCAACCUGACCACGGUGUCCAACCACACGUGGUCCCCAGGCACAGCAUCGGCCCCAUCCUCUCCUGGGCAGCCCACCCCCCCUCCCAGCUCUGCUGUGCCCACCGCCAGCCCCGCUCCUGGCACUGCCUCGGCUCUCAGCUCCAGCACUGCACAGCUGCUUGGGACUGGCAGCCUGGCACAGCCCUCCUCCAAAUCCAACCCCGGAGUGGUGGUGGUCGUCUGCCUCUUCGUGGCUGUGCUGGUUGGGGCCGUGGCCAUACUGCUGGUGCGGCUGUGCCGCUGCGGGAAGCCCCACUUCCAACGGCUGGACGAGGUGCCCAUGGGCAAAGUGUCAGAGGAAUCCCCCUUUGCCCGUCACCCCCCCAGGUGACCCCGCUGUGCCGAAUAAAGACGCUGCAGCCCUGGCUUUGGUUUCCCAUCUGAGCUGCACCCCCAUGGGUGUCAAAUCCUCAGGGAGGGGGAACCCUGAGCAUUUUGGGGUCAGGGUUGGGAUGGAGGUCCCGGGGCGCAGAUGAAGGAGGAGCGCGGGGCGGGGGGGGGGCGUGC
rnacentral:lncRNA from 1 species